rnacentral:rRNA from 1 species
GACGAACCGUGCGAACGUUGUUCGGAUUCACUGGGCGUAAAGGGCGCGUAGGCGGCUUUAUAAGUCGGGGGUGAAAGCCUGUGGCUCAACCACAGAAUUGCCUUCGAUACUGUAGAGCUUGAGACCGGAAGAGGUAAGUGGAACUGCGAGUGUAGAGGUGAAAUUCGUAGAUAUUCGCAAGAACACCAGUGGCGAAGGCGGCUUACUGGUCCGGUUCUGACGCUGAGGCGCGAAAGCGUGGGGAGCAAACAGG